rnacentral:rRNA from 1 species
ACGCUCGACACCUACUGGAGGCAGCAGUGGGGAAUAUUGCACAAUGGGGGAAACCCUGAUGCAGCGACGCCGCGUGGAGGAAGAAGGUCUUCGGAUUGUAAACUCCUGUUGUUGGGGAAAAAGAGGAUGGUACCCAACAAGGAAGUGACGGCUAACUACGUGCCANGCGCGUAUAUNGNGGCGNGNGAGAG